GGAACCGGCGCUCUGCGUGAUCACGGCCAGAGGACCUGAGGGCAAUGGCAGCUGCGUCCGCGAUCUCUCCCUCGAGGGGUUCGGCUCGUCGCUCCUUGCUUGUCUAUGACAGGCAGGUGGAGGGCGUGGUCUGUCCCAGGAAUGCCAGCGGGACAGGACGAUGGCGGGGAGCUCUGACCUCUUCAGAAACAAGGAUGGCUGCUUCCCUAUCUUGGCUGAUUGGCCAUUCUGACUGAUGGGAGGUGAUAUCUCAUUGUGGUUUUGAUUUGCAUUUCCCUGAUGAUUAUCGAUGUAGAGCAUCUUAGCAAUCAAACUGCCCAUCAAUAAAUGAAUGGAUAAAGAAGAUGUGGUACAUAUACACAAUGGAAUAUUAUUUGGCCAUAAAAAAGAAGUCCUACCAUUUGCAACAACAUGGAUGGAUCUAGAGGGUAUUAUGCUGAGUGAAAUAAACCAGGUGGAGAAAGACAAAUACCAUAUGAUUUCACUUACUUGUGGAAUCUAAAAGAAAA